GUGUGUGCGUACAUGUACAUGU
rnacentral:miRNA from 1 species